UUCAAUAAUCAAUUGCUUUUCAUUAAUUUGACGGGGAACAUCGUCGCGUCGUGACGGACAAGGGUUGCGUUGUAUUGGUACCAGUUUGUACUUACUUAUUCUACAGGGUUCGUAUAUGUUACAACUGAGAUUUAGGAGAUUUAUCAUGAUGAGUUACACUGAGAAGCAACGCAUAAAAAUAGUAGACUUUUAGUAUCAAAGUGAUAAGUCCAUUAUCGGCCGCCACGUUCGCCCGAUCUUUCGGCUUUCCAUUACUUUCUGUGGGAAAUUUACUAUCUAAAGGAAUAGGUACAUGUGAAUAGACCAUGUACACUUGAAGAGCUCAAGGAAAACAUUCUUGCAGAAACUGGAAUAUUAGAACAUUAUAUAAUACUCAAACAUUAAACAUUGUUAUGAAACAUGCUAUCGAAAGAAUCUGACAUUGUUAGACAGUAAACAGAGGGUAUAUAAAAAAUAUUAUUAACUCUCAUACAUAAACUCCAUACUAUUAUAAGCUUUAAAUAUUUAGCAAUAUCGUACAAACAUGUUAUAAAAUAAGACAAUUAUUUAUGU